CCUGGCCCCCAUCUUGGCUGGAUAUAUGAGCCCAGCACAUCGUGGGAUCAAGUGACACCCUACAACAUAGUGCUACUGAGCACAACCAAGUUGAUUAGAUUAGUUAAACCCAUGUGGCAAGGGCACAGUGAAACCAAGUAGCUUCAUGGCCCUUACCACGUAUAUCAUCAGCACAGUAUCUUUCCUAAGCAAGGGAAAUUUUUAAGGGUAACAGCAUCUGAAGUAACUUAGUGUAAUUUAAAUGAGUAUUGUAUGAAGCAUGACAAUGAGAUCAGCCGAGUAAAAAACUCGAAAAGCUGAACUCUGGACAAAGUCACAAAUGCACUGCACACAGCAAUACGUGUUUGUGCAAAGUAUUCAGGAAAAGAGAAGUAAGUUUCUUCUGAGGAUGUAGGUGUGGCUACCGCAGUGUCCCAAAGAGAUUAAAACAAAUCCUGUUGAUGCUGUGUUCUUGCGUUUGAAGUAGUAAUUAGAGUCUGGCGUCAAGUCUGAAUGAUAACUAUUACUUUCUUCACGCAGAUUUUCUAAGCUUGAGAGACCAGUUUUCAAAAGCUCUCUAGCAAAGCAAUUAUGUAACCAGUGUUGCGCCAUCAGAAGAAACUGUUAAAGGAUGGUCAGAAAUACUGAAGGCUUAUUAAAAACAACUCUUGGCCUGAACAGAAAGCACUUUUACCAGAACACAUAUUUGGAUUCCUUUAUUCCAAACUCCCAUAGCACUAAGUCUCAGAUGGCUUAAUACUGAAAAAGAUUCUACAUCACAGGUUUCCAGGUGAGAAGAAAGCCCCCUGAUUCUCCAGCCUGACCUUUUGCAUGGUACAGGUGACAACUGGAUCAAGUGAUGUCUAUAUAAUUUCUGGAAGAGCCAGAACACUUCCUUUGGAAAAAUCCACCUUCUUGAGCUAAAGAUUUCAGGUAACAAGGC